UACAGAGGGUGCGAGCGUUAAUCGGAAUUACUGGGCGUAAAGCGUGCGUAGACGGUUAUCUAAGUCGGAUGUGAAAAGCCCCCGGGCUCAACCCUGGGGAAUUGCAUUCGAGACUGAAUAGCUAGGGUGCGGUAGAGGGAAGCGGAAUUUCCGGUGUAGCGGUGAAAUGCGUAGAUAUCGGAAGGAACAUCAGUGGCGAAGGCGGCCCACUGGAUCGGUACUGACGCUGAGGUGCGAAAGCGUGGGGAGCGAACAGG
rnacentral:rRNA from 1 species